GACGAACGCUGGCGGCGUGCCUAAUACAUGCAAGUUGAGCGAUGAAGAUUGGUGCUUGCACCAAUUUGAAGAGCAGCGAACGGGUGAGUAACGCGUGGGGAAUCUGCCUUUGAGCGGGGGACAACAUUUGGAAACGAAUGCUAAUACCGCAUAACAACUUUAAACAUAAGUUUUAAGUUUGAAAGAUGCAAUUGCAUCACUCAAAGAUGAUCCCGCGUUGUAUUAGCUAGUUGGUGGGGUAAAGGCUCACCAAGGCGAUGAUACAUAGCCGACCUGAGAGGGUGAUCGGCCAAAUUGGGACUGAGACACGGCCCAAACUCCUACGGGAGGCAGCAGUAGGGAAUCUUCGGCAAUGGACGAAAGUCUGACCGAGCAACGCCGCGUGAGUGAAGAAGGUUUUCGGAUCGUAAAACUCUGUUGGUAGAGAAGAACGUUGGUGAGAGUGGAAAGCUCAUCAAGUGACGGUAACUACCCAGAAAGGGACGGCUAACUACGUG
rnacentral:rRNA from 1 species